rnacentral:rRNA from 1 species
AUUGAACGCUGGCGGCAGGCCUAACACAUGCAAGUCGAGCGGAUGAAGGGAGCUUGCUCCUGGAUUCAGCGGCGGACGGGUGAGUAAUGCCUAGGAAUCUGCCUGGUAGUGGGGGAUAACGUCCGGACACGGGCGCUAAUACCGCAUACGUCCUGAGGGAGAAAGUGGGGGAUCUUCGGACCUCACGCUAUCAGAUGAGCCUAGGUCGGAUUAGCUAGUUGGUGGGGUAAAGGCCUACCAAGGCGACGAUCCGUAACUGGUCUGAGAGGAUGAUCAGUCACACUGGAACUGAGACACGGUCCAGACUCCUACGGGAGGCAGCAGUGGGGAAUAUUGGACAAAGGGCGAAAGCCUGAUCCAGCCAUGCCGCGUGUGUGAAGAAGGUCUUCGGAUUGUAAAGCACUUUAAGUUGGGAGGAAGGGCAGUAAGUUAAUACCUUGCUGUUUUGACGUUACCAACAGAAUAAGCACCGGCUAACUUCGUG